GAUGAACGCUCGCGGGAGGCCUAACACAUGCAAGCCGAGCGGUAUUGUUUCUUCGGAAAUGAGAGAGCGGCGUACGGGUGCGUAACACGUGUGCAACCUGCCUUUAUCUGGGGGAUAGCCUUUCGAAAGGAAGAUUAAUACUCCAUAAUAUAUUGAACGGCAUCGUUUAAUAUUGAAAGCUCCGGCGGAUAGAGAUGGGCACGCGCAGGAUUAGCUAGUUGGUGAGGUAACGGCUCACCAAGGCGAUGAUCUUUAGGGGGCCUGAGAGGGUGAUCCCCCACACUGGUACUGAGACACGGACCAGACUCCUACGGGAGGAAGCAGUGAGGAAUAUUGGUCAAUGGGUGCAAGCCUGAACCAGCCAUCCCGCGUGAAGGACGACUGCCCUAUGGGUUGUAAACUUCUUUUGUAUAGGGAUAAACCUACCCUCGUGAGGGUAGCUGAAGGUACUAUACGAAUAAGCACCGGCUAACUCCGUG
rnacentral:rRNA from 1 species